rnacentral:rRNA from 1 species
AUCUACGGCCAUACUACCCUAAACACGCCCAAUCUUGCCUGGUCUCGGAAGCAAAGCAGGAUCAGGCCUGGUUAGUACUUGAAAGGGGAGAAAGAGCUUGUCAACCAAUGAUC